rnacentral:rRNA from 1 species
AGAAUCAACGCUGGCGGCGUGCCUCAGACAUGCAAGUCGAACGCGAAAGUCCCCUUCGGGGGGCAAGUAGAGUGGCGCACGGGUGAGUAACACGUAGGUAAUCUACCUUUGGAUGGGGAAUAACAAUCGGAAACGGUUGCUAAUACCGCAUAAUGCAGCGGCACCUAAUGGUGACAGUUGUUAAAGCGGGGGAUCGAAAGACCUCGCGUCUGAAGAGGAGCCUGCGGCGGAUUAGCCAGUUGGUAAGGUAAUGGCUUACCAAGGCUACGAUCC